rnacentral:lncRNA from 1 species
UGAGUCGGCAGCAGCCCGGCCCCCGGCGCCAGCCGGGCCCCUGCGGGCCUGGCCCGGACGGGGCGGCCUGCUUUCGAGUUCCUGAGGGCGGGUUGCGCGUGACCGCGAGUCCGGCGGAGCCGGAGAGCGCAGAGGCCUGAGAGGGCUCUGAGGGCCGGGUGGCUGCUCGGGCCCGAGUCAGACAGACGGAGUAUGCGCGGGCGGGAAGCGUGGGCGCUCUCGGCCCCCGGGACUAGUCACCGCCGCCGUGCGAGCCGAUCUUUCUCAGUGCGGGCUUCGGGGGCAGCCCGGAGCCAUGGUCUGGAGUCAGGUGAAAACAGGAAAGAAGUGAGUGUUGGGACGGACAUCCUAGCUGCAGGACUAAAGGACCUGAACGUUUUCAUCUAUGGUUAUGGAGACAAGGAUAGUUUCAGCAUUCCUGGCAGGUCCUGCACCUGGUUGGAGCAACUUUUUUGUGUAGUCCAUUUACACGCAUGUUGGGAGAAGACAUGUAUGAGAAUCAUCUAUUUCUUUUGUUGUCACGAGUAUCCUAAACACCAGAACUGUGCUUAA